CGUAUGCACUGCUCAACAGCACCAAAACUCUUUAAAAAAACUCAUAUUCUUUACUCAAAUCAUCUGUAAUUGAUGGGGGAUGUAAUAUAUGUGAAGAUAUUAAAAUCCUU